UAGUCCACGCCGUAAACGAUGAAUGCUAGUCGUCAGGGGGCAUGCCCUUUGGUGACGCAGCUAACGCAUUAAGCAUUCCGCCUGGGGAGUACGAUCGCAAGAUUAAAACUCAAAGGAAUUGACGGGGGCCCGCACAAGCAGUGGAGCAUGUGGUUUAAUUCGAAGCAACGCGCAGAACCUUACCACCACUUGACAUUACCAUCGCGAUUUCCGGAGACGGAUUUCUUCAGUUCGGCUGGAUGGAUAACAGGUGCUGCAUGGUUGUCGUCAGCUCGUGCCGUGAGGUGUCAGGUUAAGUCCUAUAACGAGCGCAACCCCUACCGUUAGUUGCCAGCAUGUAAAGAUGGGGACUCUAGCGGGACUGCCAGUGCAAACUGUGAGGAAGGUGGGGAUGACGUCAAAUCAUCACGGCCCUUACGCCCUGGGCUACACACGUGCUACAAUGGUACAGACAGAGAGCAGCCACUACGCGAGUAGGAGCGAAUCUUA
rnacentral:rRNA from 1 species